rnacentral:rRNA from 1 species
UACGAAGGGGGCUAGCGUUGCUCGGAAUCACUGGGCGUAAAGGGAGCGUAGGCGGAUGAUUAAGUCAGAGGUGAAAGCCCAGGGCUCAACCUUGGAAUUGCCUUUGAUACUGAUCAUCUAGAGACCGGAAGAGGUAAGUGGAACUGCGAGUGUAGAGGUGAAAUUCGUAGAUAUUCGCAAGAACACCAGUGGCGAAGGCGGCUUACUGGUCCGGAUCUGACGCUGAGGCUCGAAAGCGUGGGGAGCAAACAGG